GAUGAAGAACGUAGCGAAAUGUGAUACUUGGUGUGAAUUGCAGAAUCCCGUGAACCAUCGAGUCUUUGAACGCAAGUUGCGCCCGAAGCCAUUAGGCCGAGGGCACGCCUGCCUGGGCGUCACACGUCGUUGCCCCCCCAUCUACUCCUUCGGGAUUGCGGGGGGCGGAUGAUGGCCUCUCGUGCGCCUCGUCGCGCGGUUGGCCUAAAUGCCAAGUCCUCGGCGACGCACGCCACGACAAUCGGUGGUUGCGAAACCUCGGUUGCCUGUCGUGUGCGGUCGUCGCGCAUCGAGGGCUCGAAAAAAUUGCCGGGCUUCGGCUCGACUUUCAACGCGACCCCAGGUCAGGAGGGGUUACCCGCUGAAUUUAAGCAUAUCAAUAAGCGGAGGA
rnacentral:misc_RNA from 1 species